rnacentral:rRNA from 1 species
UACGGAGGGUGCAAGCGUUAUCCGGAUUCACUGGGUUUAAAGGGUGCGUAGGUGGGCAGGUAAGUCAGUGGUGAAAUCUCCGGGCUUAACCCGGAAACUGCCGUUGAUACUAUCUGUCUUGAAUAUCGUGGAGGUGAGCGGAAUAUGUCAUGUAGCGGUGAAAUGCUUAGAUAUGACAUAGAACACCAAUUGCGAAGGCAGCUCGCUACACGGUUAUUGACACUGAGGCACGAAAGCGUGGGGAGCAAAACGG